rnacentral:rRNA from 1 species
GGCCAACUGGGUAUAAUCCCCGAUAGAUCUCGGUCGCUGGAAAGCCCCGAGAGCGGAAGCUCCGGCGCCAGAGGAUGGGUCUGCGGCCUAUCAGGUAGUAGUGGGUGUAGCGUACCUACUAGCCUACGACGGGUACGGGUUGUGAGAGCAAGAGCCCGGAGAUGGAUUCUGAGACACGAAUCCAGGCCCUACGGGGUGCAGCAGGCGCGAAAACUUUACAAUGCCGGCAACGGCGAUAAGGGGACCUCGAGUGCCAGGUUACAAAUCUGGCUGUCGUGAUGCCUAAAAAGCAUUGCAUAGCAAGGGCCGGGCAAGACCGGUGCCAGCCGCCGCGGUAACACCGGCGGCUCGAGUGGUAACCGUUAUUAUUGGGUCUAAAGGGUCUGUAGCCGGCCGGAUAAGUCUCUUGAGAAAUCCAGUAGCUCAACUGUUGGGCUUUCAGGAGAUACUGUCUGGCUCGAGGCCGGGAGAGGUGAGAGGUACUUCAGGGGUAGGGGUGAAAUCUUGUAAUCCUUGAAGGACCACCAGUGGCGAAGGCGUCUCACCAGAACGGACCUGACGGCAAGGGACGAAAGCUAGGGGCACGAACCGGAUUAGAUACCCGGGUAGUCCUAGCCGUAAACGAUACUCGCUAGGUGUCGGCCACGGUGCGACCGUUGUCGGUGCCGUAGGGAAGCCGUGAAGCGAGCCACCUGGGAAGUACGGCCGCAAGGCUGAAACUUAAAGGAAUUGGCGGGGG